AAUUCUCUAUAAUCUUCUAAAUCAUAUCAAUCCCUAUCCUUAAUUUCUCCAAUAGUCGUUGCCCAUCACUCUGACUCACUGCCACCGCUCCAUCUCCCAUCUUUCUAUUACAUAUGGCAAUUGCCAGGUAGUUAACACUUCAUUUUGUGACUUGUGUUGGUUGGCUCUCACCAUGCAACUCCUAUACUUAACCCCUGCAUAUACUUAAUCACAAUGAAAUACGGACAAGGGAGACUUUCUCUCUCUCUUUUUUUUUUUCUUCUUUCUAUUUAGAUUAAUCUUGCUGUUCACAUGGCAUUUUUUUAUUUGCUCCAUAGUGUACCUACAUAAUUCCCCUUCAUAGUUCCAGUGCCUACAUUCUAGCACAGAAACUGUAGCAAUAGCUUUGUGGUGAUUCCAUGAAAGGAAUGUUCCUUCUUCUUAACAUGUUUAAGUGAGUAAUUCCCUUUGGAAAAGUAGAAUUAUUUGCCUGCUGUGUUCCGCUCUUCCUUUUGCGCCACCCACCUCCCCUCCCCCACCCCAAUGCCUUUGGGCACUAUUGUAACUGCAAUAAUACUGGCUUGAUUCUCUUGCCUUGUAUAUAUGCAGGCCCUUCACCUAAUUCCAACCUUCACGUACUUUUUGCACCCUGAAAAGUGGUAAGCCAAUGUUCAAAGGGCAGCUGUUGCACAUUUUUCCUCGUGCACGCUGCCCAGCUCUGAUCGUGAGAGACCAUUAAGCCUCUUUAAAUAUUUCUGUUGGUCAUUUUAUUAAAAACUAACAGUGAUUUGGCCUGCAGAAAUUCUAUUCCAAUUAUGAAGAGCUGAUUGAGGGCAUCGGAGCGUAAUGCCCUCAAAACUCUAGGUUAUGACCUUUCAUGGCCAGAUUUAUAAUUAUCUCUUUAUGGAUGAUCCUCCAUUGAUAUCUUAAUUAUACUUCUCUGUUCCUUUUAAACGUUAAUUUCAAGCCUUUUUACCUGCCAAGUGUGGACAUUCUUAGGUAUGCUAUUCUUGUUCAAUGCUUGUGUUUUGGAAUGCAUGAUGUUGUCUGAAAGUAUGUGGUAGUUUUGGUUGGGAAAAAUUUGACACUGUUUGCGCCUUUUGUUAUGCCGUCAAUCUCAAGAUCGCUGUGUAGAUGGUAGAUUGCAGUCCAAUUUGAAUGCCAACAGCUGCAUGGUAUGUCUGAAUCUCUGUUUGACUGUUUGUUAUCUGCAUCUCUUGAUAUUAUUAAGAUAGUUGUUGGUCAUCCCUAUUCUCUUUUUCCUUAAAUUGUUUCUACCUUUUCAUCAUUUUCAGUUAACUUUGUGAGAUUCUCAGUCAUUGAAGCUGGGCAAUUCAUCUGAAGGGUUUGGUUAGGCUUACCAUGGACAUGCAGAAAAAUGCGUACGCAUUAUGCAUCAUUCUAAAGAAUCUCUGUUCAUGACUUUGUGUAUGUUCUAUCUGAGGACAAUAAACGCUUUUUUGCUUACAUAGAAGAUAUGUGUGAGGAUUCACGAGGCAGCAAGAUGGUUGUGGUACGAUGGUUUCACAAGGUUGAUGAGGUUGGCGUUUUUUAUCUCGAACAUUUAGUGACAGAGAGAUUUUCUUUUCCGUCUUCAAGAUCUGAAACAUUGAAUGCAUAGAUGGGAUGGCUAUUGUUCUUGGCCCGCAGCAUUUUUUUGUUAGUUUCGCAGUUGCCAUGACUUCUGUCGCUCACCAAUUUCUUCUAAAUGAAUUAUCUUUGAUAAUUUCUAGCUUGUUAUAUGAUACAGUGAAGGAUAAAGGAAUGUUUUGAGUGGGUACCGAAGACCAAAGGCAUAAUAAUGGUUCCUCACUGGCUUUGAAAUGGAAUUCAACAAAUAA